ensembl:lncRNA
CUGUUUUAAAAAUUCUUUAUUGAUACUAAAGAAAAUAGAAAAGUGAAUUCAGAGAAACACGAGCCCAAAACAUUUCUAAUAUUUCUCGUCUUUAAUGAUAAACGUCUUUGGUCAAAUUCGUCUAAAAGUGUGAACCAAACCUGGACUCGUUAGACGAAGAUUCUACCAUAAAAACAAAACUACUAUUUUUUUUUUUAUGAAUAAACUUUUCAUAUUUAUGCAUAAAAUGAAACAAACAAAACUAUUCACAAAAUUUAAGUGAAACCAGAAAAACAGAAGAGACUUAAAAUAAAGAAAUAAGUGUAAAAACGUGUGGUGAUGAUUGUAGUUUCAUUCUCCCCUUUUAUUUUGCAUAUAUUAGUACGUUUACCAUCAAAUUAAAAUGAAAUAACAAAAUAAAAGACGACACAAAAGCUAUUUCCCGUCUGUGGACUAAAAACACAUUUAUCUACUGUUUAAAAUGCAUAGAUUUCACAAUAAUUCAGGUUUUAUUCACAAAGUACAGCCUGAAAAAGGACAAAACGUUUAAAUUCUUACACAGUUUUCAGUUUAGUUCUUGUGCUGCUGGAAUAUGUCAAAGUUUAUAUAGUUUUUACAUGUUUUUAGGUUUUACAGUGACACGGGUCAAGGCUGAAGGUGCAGAACGGCAGCCACGUGUCGGUCAGUCUGCCCCGGGACAGAUGUGGCACAAAGGGUGAGUGUGAUGGAGGAGGAGCGGACCAAAAACACUGGUUUAGUCCUGGUUUAGUCCUGGUUUAGUCCCUGGUUUAUCCUGGUGUAGUCCUGGUUUAGUCCUGGUUUAGUCCUGGUUUAGUCCUGGUGUAGUCCUGGUGUAGUCCUGGUUUAGACCUUGUUUAGUCCUGGUUUAGUCCUGGUUUAGACCUGGUUUAGUCCUGGUUUAGACUUGGUUUAGUCCUGGUUUAGACUUGGUUUAGUCCUGUUUUAGACCUGGUUUAGUCCUGGUUUAGUCCUGGUUUAGACUUGGUUUAGUCCUGGUUUAGACCUGGUUUAGACCUGGUUUAGACCUGUUUUAGUCCUAGUUUAGUCCUAGUUUAGUCCUGUUUUAGACCUGUUUUAGUCCUGGUUUAGACUUGGUUUAGUCCUGGUUUAGACCUGGUUUAGUCCUGGUUUAGACCUGGUUUAGUCCUGGAUUAGUCCUGUUUUAGACCUGGUUUAGUCCUGGUUUAGUCCUGGUUUAGUCCUGGUUUAGACCUGGUUUAGACCUGGUUUAGACCUGGUUUAGACCUGUUUUAGUCCUGGUUUAGUCCUGGUUUAGUCCUGUUUUAGACCUGGUUUAGUCCUGGUUUAGUCCUGGUUUAGUCCUGGUUUAGUCCUGGUUUAGUCCUGGUUUAGUCCUGUUUUAGUCCUGUUUUAGACCUGGUUUAGACCUGGUUUAGUCCUGUUUUAGACCUGGUUUAGUCCUG